CAGUAGCCGCGGUAAUACGAAGGGGGCUAGCGUUGCUCGGAAUGACUGGGCGUAAAGGGCGCGUAGGCGGUUCACGCAGUCAGAUGUGAAAUUCCUGGGCUUAACCUGGGGGCUGCAUUUGAGACGCGUGGGCUUGAGUGUGAAAGAGGGUCGUGGAAUUCCCAGUGUAGGGGUGAAAUUCGUAGAUAUUGGGAAGAACACCGGUGGCGAAGGCGGCGACCUGGUUCACAACUGACGCUGAGGCGCGAAAGCGUGGGGAGCAAACAGGAUUAGAUACCCGUGUAGUCCCUGUCUCUUAUAC
rnacentral:rRNA from 1 species